UAUCCUUUUCCUUUUUGAUCAUUUUGCCAUGCAAAAGAAGCUUUUAAAUCUGUUAAUCAAACAUACAAUAAAUUAUUUCUACAACUUCAGAAUAAUUUUAGAAUAGUGACAGCCAAACAAAAAAACUACUUUAUCUUAAAGCAGUUUUUGAUAUGAAAAUUCAGUUUUUAUUAAAAAUUGAUUUUUGAUCAAAAGCUACAGCAUUCCCAAAC
rnacentral:lncRNA from 1 species